rnacentral:lncRNA from 1 species
AUAAACAUCGUCAUUAUCAUCAACAAGAAAACAUACCGUACAUAAUAUGUAAUAUACAAGAGAGAAAUACAUAUAGUACUUUCUUAUAUUGAAAAUUUGACAUAAAAUACGAGAGUGGUACAUUUUGUAUAGAAAUUUUUUUUACCUUUUAGACGUUGACCCCUGCAAGGAAAAUUCCUGGAUCCGCCACUUACUACCCUACAUUAAAAUUUUGCUGGAAGAGAUAGGAAAAUUCAUUAAAAUAAGAAUCCAUGUUAAUUAACAAUACUAUAUCCUAAAAAACAUAAAUAUGCUCCAUCUACUACAUUACAGAUGAACUAGUA